rnacentral:rRNA from 1 species
AACGCGAAGAACCUUACCAGGGUUUGACAUGUAGUCGCACCACCCUGAAAAGGGUGUUCCUUCGGGACGACUACACAGGUGCUGCAUGGCUGUCGUCAGCUCGUGCCGUGAGGUGUUGGGUUAAGUCCCGCAACGAGCGCAACCCUUAUUGUUAGUUAAAUUCACUAACGAGACUGCCCCGAUCAACGGGGAGGAAGGUGGGGAUGACGUCAAGUCAGCACGGCCCUUACAUCCUGGGCUACACACACGCUACAAUGGUCGGUACAGAGAGCCGCUAACCCGCGAGGGGGUGCGAAUCUCACAAAGCCGGUCUCAGUUCGGAUUGUAGGCUGCAACCCGCCUACAUGAAGCUGGAGUUGCUAGUAACCGUGGGUCAGCACACCACGGUGAAUACGUUCCCGGGCCUUGUA